GAUGGAGGCAGCGGCGCAUGACGAGAGUUAGGGCUCCGUGCUGCUGUUCUUGUGGAUAAAGAAAACCACGAUAGGUUUUGACUUAUAUGUUGCCGAUUCCGUGCAAACCAUUUGCGUGUGCCUUUGUAUCUCUUCAUGCUUUCUACGACGGGAAAAGGAAACAGAGGCGCACACACACCAAUGGGUCCUGGCGAGCAUAUAACAAAGGAAAGGAGCAGCAAGGUUGUUUAUGAGUUGGACUCGUGAAAGCAGGGAGAUGGAAUCAGCCUGGUUGCUAGCUUCCUGAAUUGUCAUCACGUCAAAGCACAUUGGCCCAAGAAACAAAGGAAAUAAAUAAAAAGAAAAGAUAGAUAAGUGUCAACGAUAGAGACAAAAUGGUAAACCUUGAUCCAUUAGUAAAUGUUUGGACUGAGACGGACUAGGAUGAGAAUUAUAUAUCCUUAGAAUUAUUAAGCCACGAGAAAAAAAAAUACCGUCAUGCCUCAAAAGAAAUUGGGGAUAAUUUUUAUAGAUAGAUUGAACACCG
rnacentral:lncRNA from 1 species